CCCUAUGUAUGUCAUUGCGGAUUAGCAGCUGGGGCCAGGCCAGGCCAGCGCAGCAGCGCCGGGGAAUCCGCUGUGCACGGCCGCGCGCAGAGGCCGGGAGGCCAAAAAUUAAGGAGGAGGGCACGGGUCUUGGGUUAUUUUCCUCGGCUAAUGAGCCUCCCACCCCCUCUCUAGCCUGGGCGGGGAGAAGGCGAAGAACCGUCCCCCGGGCCUCUGCGGGCGCGAGGACUUCCUGGAGCGAAGCCGGCCGCCCGGGGAGCCUGCACCUGCUGGGAGGAGCGGCGGGCACCAUGAAGGAUCGGCUGGAGCAGCUCAAAGCCAAGCAGGACCAGGAUGACGAUGCCGACGAUGUGGAGAUCGCUAUCGAGAACGCGGGGUUCAUGGAUGAGUUCUUCUCCGAGAUUGAAGAAACCCGACAAAAUAUUGAGAAAAUUGCAGAGAAUGUGGAGGGGGCGAAAAAGCUGUACAGUAUCAUCCUGUCCGCCCCCAUCCCUGAGCAAAAGACGAAAGACGACCUGGAGCAGCUCACGGCAGAGAUCAAGAAAAUAGCCAACAGCAUCCGAAACAAGCUUAAGAGCAUGGAGCGGAGCAUUGAGCAGGAUGAGGUCCAGUCGUCGGCGGAUCUGCGGAUACGGAAAUCCCAGCAUUCUGUCCUCUCCCGGAAGUUUGUUGAUGUGAUGACCAAGUACAACGAGGCACAGGUCGACUUCCGGGAACGUAGCAAAGGGCGGAUCCAGCGGCAGCUCGAGAUCACUGGGAAGAAUACGACGGAUGAGGAGCUGGAGGAGAUGCUAGAGAGUGGAAACCCCUCAAUAUUCACAUCUGGGAUCAUGGAUUCACAGAUCUCAAAGCAGGCGCUGAGCGAGAUCGAGGGGCGGCACAAGGACAUUGUGCGGCUUGAGAGCAGCAUCAAGGAGCUUCACGACAUGUUCGUGGACAUCGCCAUGCUGGUGGAAAAUCAGGGAGCCAUGAUCGACCGCAUAGAGACCAACAUGGACCAGUCGGUGGGCUUUGUGGAACGGGCCGUGGCUGACACCAAAAAGGCUGUGAAAUACCAGAGCGAGGCCAGAAGGGUGGUGGGUAUGGAGCAUGCUGCCCGGGCAAGGUUGCCAUUGCAGCUCCGAGAUGCCCCUGAAACUCCCCAGAGCUCUGUGGACAGGGGAAAUGUCAUUGUCUCACCAAGUGAGGGUAUUGGCAUGCACGCGUGUGUGUUUUUAAACUUUGAUUUUUUUUUAAUUUAAAAAAGUAAAUAAAUGAAUUUAUUUCUGAUCACAAACAGCUCUCGCCUGUGUUGUGUUGUUCCCUGCAUGAGCUGUCAUUGCCUGAAUACAACAUCCAGCUAUGGCUACCCUAGCUCAUCUUGAUUGGUUCAAGGCUGGGAGGCAGGGGUGCUGUCUCCUUGGCCUGCAUCCCUCAUGGUAGAGAAAGACCGGACUUGGCUGAAAUGAAUGGUAGUAAUAACUUGUAACUAGCUCUGAUCCUCCGUAGGUCUCAAAGUGAGGUCGGUAUCACAACCCACAUUUUACAGAUGGGGAAAUUGAGGCACGGACAGGGGAAGUGACUUGCCCAAGGUCACCCAGUGGCUGAGCCUGGAAUAGAGCCUAGGGCUCCUGAGUCCCAGUCCAGUGCUCUAGCCACUAGGCCACCCUCCUCCCAGUGUAAAGGAGACUUUAUUAGCAGGGCUGCCAGACACGAACUGAUGCUGUGGUUCUCUCUGGCUCACCAGCUCCCAGCCUGAGUAAUGCAGCCUGUGCUGCCCAAUGCACUGCACAGGGGCCAAGUCCCGGCCUUGAAGAGACUGCUCCAUGCAAACAUUGGGAUACACCGGUUCAGAAUGCUCCUGGCUGGAAUCUGUCUCUCUGCUCGUCCUUAGCCCUGCCCCAAUUAUCCAACCCACAACAAGAGUCAAGGCUGAGUAAAGCAACCGAUGGGGAAAGGCAGUAGAUACAGUGAUAGCACCAUGUAGAAUUAAAUAGCCCCACGACAGUAGCACUCCCUUGGGGAUGAGACUGGGACUUUGAGCCUCCGGUGCUGGGCUGAGAACUGUUUUCACUUGACUCACUGACAUUUAAAGAGACAGCUCCUCUUUCAGAAUAGCAGCAGUGACCAGGUUUGGCUGCAAAGGAAGGAGCUUUGUUUAUAAUCGCCAUGCCACCUGGCUCUGCUGAUGAACCUUGGGGAGGUGAAAGGGUGAGAGAACCCCACCCACCCAGGCUGGCCUGUUGUUUCAAGUCUUCAGACGGGCCUCUCCUCUCCACUUCACCCACCUGGAUCAGAAAACUUGGCUGGGGUUUCUCCUCCGCUGCUGUGCCGUAUCCAGUGCCUCUGGUAAGAUGAGAUAAUGGGUGUUGUAUUUUUCCUUGGGGGCAUGACAUUCUGCAUGGCUGUAUGCGUGGGGCAGGCUAGCUCUUAUUUAUCUAGCUAUUCACGUGGCCCCCAUAAUGAUAGCGUCUGAACACGUGGCUGGGGCUUGCUUCUUCUGCAUGGCACGUGAGUUGAGGGGAAGGGAAAUGAGCUCAUUAAGCGAUCAUUUCCCAUCAAGGCCACCAGCACCAAGGAUAAAACAUUUUUCUGUCCUCUGUGAAAGAAAAGCCCUACUCCCUCCCUCCACAUCUCCGUCCUACUACCCAUGGAUCCAUUUCCUCUUUUCCAGCCCAAAGCAAUGGACCCCCCUUCCUCUGCUCUUUGUGACACAUGGAGGAUGGGUGACCCUUCCCUCUCCUCUUCCCUCACUUCCAUUUAUAGUUCACUGUAAGCCCCCUGCACAAGCUGUUUGUUUACAUUUCUCUCUCUCGCCGAGCAGAAGAAGAUCAUGAUCAUGAUCUGUUGUAUCAUCCUGGCCAUCAUCCUGGCUUCCACCAUUGGGGGCAUCUUCGCCUGAGUGCCCACCUCCUGCCCCCCGCCCACCCCAGAUGGAUUUGCAGAUGGCCUUUCACCGUUCUUCCACUCCGCACCCUGGUGCCACCCGUCAAAUGUUCUUUCCCAUCUGGAUUUCUCACCAGCUCUACCUCCUCCUCUUUAUGGAGACAUCACAGGCCUGGCCAGUGGACCCUACCUGUCAGAUGUUCACCGUUCAGUGUUCCUGGUUGGAGGGGCUGAGGAAGCCGGAAUAGAACAGGGAGGAUGGGCUGCAGACAGAACCAAAUAAGACACCAUGGGGAUGAUGCUAGCUGACACUAAUGUAAACAUUUUCAGACACCAUGUUUAUUGGCUGUUUAAAGUGCUUCUAAAUAUCAACCUUUUAGUUCAGCUCUGUUCUCAGUCCCAGUGGCUCCUUCUGCCCACUUGUGGGUGGAGACUGACUAGCCAGCAGAGGACAUCCAUUCAAUGGAAUGUGUAUGCUCAGCACAAACUUACUGAAGGGCAGGGAAUGGCAUAGUCCUGCCUAUGUUGCUCUGGGAGGCUCAAAUCUCCUCCUUGGUGGACAGGGAUUAAAGACAGCAUCUGACAUUGUAACUGUCAGUACCUCAGAAGUGUGAUCAGGCACUGAACUGUCAGAACAUCUUUCCCCAGAUGAGCAAUAUAACUCUUUUCACUCUCUGAUCCUUGUGACCCCCCCCCAUUUCUCUGGCUCUGAGUGUGGGAAUCAGACCACGCUUGACCUGAAUCACUGGUACUUAAAAGGCGGUAAGGCCCUUUGUUCCCUCAGCUAGGGUCUCUUAGGCACAAAAUAGACUGUAUUCCUUUGUUUAUCUGUGGGAUGGUCUCAUUUACCCUACAGAAAAAUCUUUCACCUGAAAGUUUGUCACUUAUUUUAAACCCCCAAACUGUGGCAACUUGAGUGUAUUUAUUUCUUUUCCCUCUCCUCCGAUAAAUCAUUUCUGCAGUAGGGAGGAGCAACUUGGACACUGUCACUCUGUACCUCUCCUGAUGCUUCUGUUCCUUUGGCUCCUUCCUUGUCUAUCCAUAUGAGGAAAGUUCUAAGGUUGCUUUCCCCUAUGUUACUUGUACAUGAGGCAAUCACUAGUGAAAGGCUCUUCAGAGAGAGAGACCUCCAUGAAAUCUAAUAAUCCCUCUGCAGUUACACAGAGGGCAAAUGACAUGUUCCCCUCCAGUGUCAGAUGUGAGUGGAGCAGAGGACUCUGCCUCACUCAGUGCUUAAGGAGACACCACUCACUCUGAAUUUAUAUCAGCUGUUAUCUGUAUAGGUACUGUUCUAAAGGCACAAUCAUCUAUACAGAAGCCUCUUUCUGAAUAAAGACUUCAAUUCAGUGA